CCUAAAUAUGUUUUAUUCUGCAGCUGUGGCCUCUAUUCGGUGGAUGUCUGACCAAACCUGAACGAGGAAGAUAUUUUAUGUACUUCUGAUUAUGUUCUGCCCAGCUGUCUCUGUUCCUGUAGUGUGAUCACAUUUCAGCACCUUUUGAUUUGUAGAAUCAAUAUAUCCUGAGUUGUGGUGUCAGUAAUUUAUUUGUAGCACAAUAUCUUACAUAGAGACCAUAUGACUUUGGGAACGUUACGGGACCAAGUCAUUUACCCAGACACUCCAGAACACCGGAAACGUAAAGGUAUUCCUGAUAAGGUAUUGAAGGAAUACCUUGACAAUGUGCAGCUGGGUUUGGAACGUGAAGGCGGCUGGGACAGUGUUCAAGACUGGAUGUACUGAGUGGGGGCGAAAAGCAGAGGAUGGCAAUGGCAAGAUAAUUUUACCAUGUACCCCAGUUUGCCAUUUUGGACGAGUGCACUAGUGCGGUUAGUAUGGAUGUAGAAGGUUUAUAUCUAUGACCACUGCAGAAAGCACGUUUCCUCUUUCAACUGUGAACAAAGCUAUUCCAACCUAAGAGGAUAAGAAAAGGGAGCACAGUGUCACACAGAAAGUCCCUAUGGAAGCACCACGAGGUAAAUCUUUUAAACAUUUCAUGAAAGCACUGCA